UCCCGGCCUUCGAAGUGCACUCACCUGUCAGUGGACCUUUAGGUGGCUUCCAGAUCUUGGCUCUGCCCCGCGGCGGCAGAUGGCACUCGUUCUGCCGCUUUUUCCUGGCUGUGUGCGAUGCCAUCGCAUGGAUGUCCCCGGGCCUUCGAAGUGCACUCACCUGUCAGUGGACCUUUAGGUGGCUUCCAGAUCUUGGCUCUGCCCCGCGGCGGCAGAUGGCACUCGUUCUGCGCUUUUUCCUGGCUGUGUGCGAUGCCAUCGCAUGGAUGUCCCCGGGCCUUCGAAGUGCACUCACCUGUCAGUGGACCUUUAGGUGGCUUCCAGAUCUUGGCUCUGGUGAGUAGUGCGGCGACAGACAGAGGGGUGCCCGGGUCUGCUUCCGGGAAAGUUUGGUCCCGGUGAAAUGGAGCUGUUUGGAGGCCGGCUUCGGUCUUUGUGUGGGCCGGCCCGUGUAGGGCUGCUUGGCUGAG
rnacentral:lncRNA from 1 species